CACAGACAAGCACCCACACAGACACAGAGGGAGGGGGUUGGGAUGGAGAGGGGCGCACAGCAGGGCAAGUAGGACCCCCAGGACCUCUCCCAAAAUAGCCUCCCCACCUUCGACCCCUUUCUCCUCCCCAUGGUAGGAACACACUGUGUUUAUAUUUCAUGGCCAAAUUAUUUUGGAUUUUGUUGACUGGCCCUUAGUGCCCUGCCCUCUCCCCUUUGCAGGACCACAGCCCCCUCCCUCUGUUCCUCCCUGGUCCCAGCUCUGGUUUUCCUUGUUUCUUAGUUGGUUCUCUUUUGCCUUCCCCAACAGGCUCCCACCCCCACAAUCCUGAGGCCCCUGUCCCUCUCUUCCUCUCAGGGGCAGUUUCAUAUUUCCUAUGACAAAAUUGCUCUUUAAACAUUUUGUUGUAUUAAAAAUAAAUAAAUAAAAAUUUUAAAAAUAAAAAUUUUCACAUGCUUUUGCUGCAUUUUUGAGAUGCUCCUAUGUCCUUUCUUUUCUUAUUCUGUUAAAAUGGUGCAUUAUAUCCCCUCAGAACGGCAAUUAUCAAGAAUACAAGUAACAAUAAAAAUUGGCAAGGAUGUGGGGAAAAGAGAAAUUCCUGGUAGAACUGCAAACUGGUGCAUCCACUCUGGAAAGGAAUAUGGAGAUUCCUCAGAAAACUUGGAAUGGAACCACUAUUUGACCCACUCCUUGGCAUAUAUCCAAAGGACUUAAAAUUACCAUACUAUAGUGAUGAGCCACAUCAGUGUUUUGAGCAGCUCAAUUCACACUAGCUAAGCUAUGGAACUGACCUAGAUGCCUUUCAACAGAUGGAUGGAUAAAGAAAAUAUGGGACAUCUAACACAAUGGAAUAUUAGCCAUAAAGAAGAAGGAAAAUAUGGCAUUUUCUGGAAAAUGGAUGGAACUGAGGACUCUCAUGUUAAUCUCCAAAAACCAAAGACCAAAUGUUAUCUCUGAUAUACAGAUGACUCACAAUAGGUGGUGGUGGGGAGUGGAAGUUCACCAAAUUGGACAGAGAAGAAUGGUGGGAAGGAAGGGGAGAUGGGAAUGGGAAAGACACUAGAAUGAAUUUGAUAUAACUUUCCUAUGUUCAUGAUCACUGUAACUCCACAUCAUGUACAACCACAAGAAUGGGAAGUUCUACUCCAUAUAUAUAUAUGAAAGAUAUGUCAAAAUACAUUCUACUAUCAUGUAUAACUAAAAAGAACAGAUAA
rnacentral:lncRNA from 1 species